GGGGCUGCUCGGUUUCGACAGAAAUGGCUUGUCGAUAAAACGCGGGUCGAGGAGGCGCCCGGCCUCGUCAAAAGGCGCAAAAACAUAACUGCUAACGUUGUAAAAGUAGAUUUUACUCCUCAAGCAUUAGCCGCUUAAUUUAUUAAGCAGCGAGUCGCGAGACGGACGGCGGUGCCGUUUUGCCGGCUUCAUUUUACCGCCUGCGUCAGCAAAGUGUUUCGGAUUGGCUGACCAAGAAAAGUUCUGAAACUUAAUCCGCGGUUCGCCUGUUUGCGGACAGACCGCAGAUGACACUUAAACGCAGACUACACCCGUAGCGGUUUAUCUUCGAACAUUUUUGGACACGGGUUCGAUUCCCGUCAGCUCCACUC
rnacentral:tmRNA from 1 species